rnacentral:rRNA from 1 species
AAUUGGAGGGCAAGUCUGGUGCCAGCAGCCGCGGUAAUUCCAGCUCCAAUAGCGUAUAUUAAAGUUGUUGCAGUUAAAAAGCUCGUAGUUGAAUUUCGGGAUUGACGUGAUGGUCGUGCCUUACGGGGUAUGAACUGUUGCUGUUGAUUUCUCACCUUCUGGAGAAACUUGAUGUCCUUAAUUGGGUGUCUUGCGGAUCCAGGACCUUUACCUUGAAAAAAUUAGAGUGUUUAAAGCAGGCAUUUUGCUCGAAUACAUUAGCAUGGAAUAAUAGAAUAGGACGGCAUGGUUCUAUUUUGUUGGUUUCUAGGAUCACCGUAAUGAUUAAUAGGGAUAGUUGGGGGCAUUAGCAUUCAAUUGUCAGAGGUGAAAUUCUUGGAUUUAUUGAAGACUAACUACUGCGAAAGCAUUUGCCAAGGAUGUUUUCAUUAAUCAAGAACGAAAGUUAGGGGAUCGAAGACGAUCAGAUACCGUCGUAGUCUUAACCAUAAACUAUGCCGACUAGGAAUCAGACGAUGUUAAUUUUUUAAUGACUCGUUUGGCACCUUACGGGAAACCAAAGUGU